GGGACACUUUGGGGGCAGUUGGGGACACUUUGGGGACACUUUGGGGGCGCUCUGGGGGCGCUCAGGCGGUGAUGGGCUCCUGGAUGUGGUUCUGCCGCUUCACCACGAAGAGUUUCUGCCCCGAAACGGUGACGAGGAGGGAAUGCUCCCCAAAAACCACCGAGAGCCGUUUGAAGGGCGGCUCGUGGCCGCGCGGCAGCCGCAGCCCGCAGGCGGUGGCCACCAACUCGGUGAGGACGGCGGCCGUGCGCUCAUCGUUCUCCAGGUCCCCCGCGGACGCCAGCACGGCGCCGUCGCUGAUGACGAGGUAGCCCAGCUGGUCCGGGAUGCGCUCCAAGCCCUGCGUCAGUGCUG
rnacentral:lncRNA from 1 species